GACGAACGCUGGCGGCGUGCUUAACACAUGCGAGUCGAACGGAAAGGCCUCUUUCGGGGGGUACUCGAGUGGCGAACGGGUGAGUAACACGUGAGUAACCUGCCCUUGACUUUGGGAUAACUUCAGGAAACUGGGGCUAAUACCGGAUAGGAGCUCCUGCUGCAUGGUGGGGGUUGGAAAGUUUCGGCGGUUGGGGAUGGACUCGCGGCUUAUCAGCUUGUUGGUGGGGUAGUGGCUUACCAAGGCUUUGACGGGUAGCCGGCCUGAGAGGGUGACCGGCCACAUUGGGACUGAGAUACGGCCCAGACUCCUACGGGAGGCAGCAGUGGGGAAUAUUGCACAAUGGGUGGAAGCCUGAUGCAGCAACGCCGUGUGCGGGAUGACGGCCUUCGGGUUGUAAACCGCUUUCGCUCAUGACGAAGCUUUGUGUGACGGUAGUGGGUAAAGAAGCACCGGCUAACUACGUG
rnacentral:rRNA from 1 species